AACUUCAGUGUCAGUAAAUAAGUGGAGUAGGCCCCAGAGUUAUAUGAACACAUUGCCUAUGAAGAAUAGAUGCCCGAUGUCUCUAUUGUUCUUUCUUUUGUACACGUUUAUGGGAUGCUCUAGAAUGCAGUGACUUAUGAGGACGUGCAUGUGAACUUCACUCGAGAGGAGUGGGCUCUGCUGGAUCCUUCUCAGAAGAAGCUCUACAAAGAUGUGAUGCUGGAGACCUACAGGAACCUCAACGCUAUAGGAUUUAAUUGGGACGACAAACAUAUUCAAGAACAUUGUCCAAGUUCUAGAAGACACAGAAGGUAUCCUUGAAGAUGAAAACCAA
rnacentral:lncRNA from 1 species